rnacentral:rRNA from 1 species
GACGAACGCUGGCGGCGUGCUUAACACAUGCAAGUCGAACGGAAAGGCCCCCACCUUGGUGGGGGUGCUCGAGUGGCGAACGGGUGAGUAACACGUGGGUGAUCUGCCCUGUACUUCGGGAUAAGCUUGGGCACCUGGGUAUAAUACCGGUUAGGACCAUGGUUUAGUGUCUCAUGGUGGACAAAUUAUUGUUUUGGUGCCGGAUGAGCUCGCGCUCUAUCAGCUUGUUGGUGGGGUCAUGGCCUACCAAGGGGUCGACGGGUGGCCGGCCUGUGAGGGUGGACAGCCUGAAUGGGACUGAGGGACGGCCCAGACUCCUACGGGAGGCAGCAGGAGGGAAGAUUGCACAAUGGGCGCAAGAUUGAUGCAGGGACGCCGCGUGAGGGAGGACGGCCUUCGGGUUGUAAACUCCUUUCGUUAGGAACGAAGCCACACCUUUUUUGGGUGUUGUGACGGUACCUUUGUGAAGAAGCACCGGCUAACUACGUG